rnacentral:rRNA from 1 species
GACGAACGCUGGCGGCGUGCUUAACACAUGCAAGUCGAACGAAGUGGCGAACGGGUGAGUAACGCGUAAUCAACCUGCUCUUCAGAGGGGGACAACAGUUGGAAACGACUGCUAAUACCGCAUACUGAAGGAGGGGUUUUCGUCUGAUUAGCUAGCUGGAGGGGUAACGGCCCACCAAGGUGAUGAUCAGUAGCCGGUCUGAGAGGAAGGACAGGCAAAAGUGGACUGAGGAACAGCCCAGACUCCUACGGGAGGCAGCAGGGGGGAAUCUUCCGCAAUGGACGGAAGUCAGACGGAACAACGCCGCGGGGGUGAUGACGGCCUUCGGGUUGUAAAGCUCUGUUAAGCGGGACGCGGUACCGGAAUAGAAAGCCACGGCUAACUACGUGCCAGCAGCCGCGGUAAUUC